rnacentral:lncRNA from 1 species
GCUUCCUGGUUUCAGCCCCUUUGCCCCUCGGGGGUCCUGCAGCCACGCCUCCGCCCAGUUUCUUAUUACCGUAAAACGUCCAAACUAAGCCCACAUUCAUUUCGGAAAAGGCAGCAGUGCAGUUCAUUCGGUUCGCCGGUACCUCAUUAGAAGACACCUAAGGAUGCGAGUCUCGGUUUUCCGGAAAAAUAAACCAACUGACAUUGGGUUUGCGGGCGAGGAUCUGUGAAAAACCGGACAUGAGCGAAUAGGACAUUGUGCAGCACUGUGAUCCUGUGGCCGGCUGGGACACAGCCUGCAGAAAUGGUAUCUGGGGGGAGAGCGGUGGAAGGGGGUCUGUACGCAAAGAGUGGUGGGUGUCCGGAAUCAGCCGCCCUCCUUGUCGCCGUGACGUUGAAUCAGAUCCUCCGUGUGCGCAAAUCGAGAAGGGAUCACGGGAGGUCUGCGGGGGCGGGGACGCGAGAUUUCCUGGAAGAGAUUGAAACUCCCGCCCAGCCGCCUGCCGGCUCAAUAAAAGAGCGAGGAGGGGAGGGCGGCUACACGCGAGCCGCACGGGCACGGAGGGACGCCGAGAGCCGGGAGAGAUUCGGGACGCUAGCCGAGCUGGGCGCUGCUGGGUGAUGUCUGUGGGUGAUGGGAGUCCUCCUGGCCCCCCUGGGGGAGGCCUGGACCUGCUGACUGGCGCCCUGCACCCCCUCCUGGACAGCCCCGCGCCCCCACAGGGUCCCCCCGCGCCGGGUCCCCCGCAGGGCUACACGAGUGCCAGCUGCCCGCUGGUGUGGCCUCCCUCCCAGCCCUGGGCCCAGGCGCCGCAGCAGCAGCAGCAGUGGGGGGGCGGGGGCCAGUUCCCGGGGCAGCAGGUGCGCCCGCCCGGUGGGG